rnacentral:rRNA from 1 species
GAUGAACGCUGGCGGCGUGCCUAAUACAUGCAAGUCGAGCGAACGGACGAGAAGCUUGCUUCUCUGAUGUUAGCGGCGGACGGGUGAGUAACACGUGGAUAACCUACCUAUAAGACUGGGAUAACUUCGGGAAACCGGAGCUAAUACCGGAUAAUAUUUUGAACCGCAUGGUUCAAAAGUGAAAGACGGUCUUGCUGUCACUUAUAGAUGGAUCCGCGCUGCAUUAGCUAGUUGGUAAGGUAACGGCUUACCAAGGCAACGAUGCAUAGCCGACCUGAGAGGGUGAUCGGCCACACGAGAACUGGGACACGGUCCAGAAUCCUAAGGGAGGCAGCAGUAGGGAAUCUUCCGCAAUGGGCGAAAGCCUGACGGAGCAACGCCGCGUGGGUGAUGAAGGUCUUCGGAUCGUAAAACUCUGUUAUUAGGGGAGAACAAAUGUGUAAGUAACUGUGCACAUCUUGACGGUACCGAAUCAGAAAGCCACGGCUAACUACGUG